GUAGGGUGCAGGCGUUAAUCGGAAUUACUGGGCGUAAAGCGUGCGUAGGCGGUUUGUUAAGACAGGUGUGAAAUCCCCGGGCUUAACCUGGGAACUGCGCUUGUUACUGGCAGACUGGAGUGUGGCAGAGGGGGGUGGAAUUCCAGGUGUAGCAGUGAAAUGCGUAGAUAUCUGGAGGAACACCGAUGGCGAAGGCAGCCCCCUGGGCUAACACUGACGCUGAUGCACGAAAGCGUGGGGAGCAAACAGGAUUAGAUACCCUGGUAGUCCACGCCCUAAACUAUGUCAACUGGUUGUCGGGGAAGAAAUUCCUUGGUAACGAAGCUAACGCGUGAAGUUGACCGCCUGGGGAGUACGGCCGCAAGGUUA
rnacentral:rRNA from 1 species